rnacentral:rRNA from 1 species
UGGGGAAUUUUGGACAAUGGGCGCAAGCCUGAUCCAGCCAUGCCGCGUGCAGGAUGAAGGCCUUCGGGUUGUAAACUGCUUUUGUGCGGAACGAAAAGACUCCUUCUAAUAAAGGGGGUCCAUGACGGUACCGUAAGAAUAAGCACCGGCUAACUACGUGCCAGCAGCCGCGGUAAUACGUAGGGUGCGAGCGUUAAUCGGAAUUACUGGGCGUAAAGCGUGCGCAGGCGGUUUUGUAAGACAGAGGUGAAAUCCCCGGGCUCAACCUGGGAAUUGCCUUUGUGACUGCAAGGCUUGAGUGCGGCAGAGGGGGAUGGAAUUCCGCGUGUAGCAGUGAAAUGCGUAGAUAUGCGGAGGAACACCGAUGGCGAAGGCAAUCCCCUGGGCCUGCACUGACGCUCAUGCACGAAAGCGUGGGGAGCAAACA